ACAAACGUAUUAAUCGUAUUAAUAUGAGUAAAAAACAUAGGUCCCGCAUAAAACACAUAGAAGAUCAGGUUAUCGUAUAUUAAUAUAUGAGUAUAAAUUUAAGUUCACAAAAAAUAGUUAAAAACUGUAAAUUUUAUUAAUAAGAGUAAAAACAUAGGCCCUGCGUACAUGUAUGAUAUAAACUGUUGUUUUUUGUUUGGCACACCUUGUGUCAAUCAGGACUCAUUAUUAAUAAUAAAAUUCAUUUUAGUUUGUUCAAAAAAAAAAA
rnacentral:lncRNA from 1 species